rnacentral:rRNA from 1 species
CCUACGGGAGACAGCAGUGGGGGAUAUUGCACAAUGGGGGAAACCCUGAUGCAGCGACGCCGCGUGGGCGAAGAAGUAUUUCGGUAUGUAAAGCCCUAUCAGCAGGGAAGAAGAAAUGACGGUACCUGAGUAAGAAGCACCGGCUAAAUACGUGCCAGCAGCCGCGGUAAUACGUAUGGUGCAGGCGUUAUCCGGAUUUACUGGGUGUAAAGGGAGCGCAGGGGGCACGGCAAGCCUGAUGUGAAAGCCCGCGGGCCAACCGCGGGACUGCAGUGGGAACUACCGGGCUGGAGUGCCGGAGAAGUAGGCGGAAUUCCUAGUGUAGCGGUGAAAUGCGUAGAUAUUAGGAAGAACACCAGUGGCGAAGGCAGCCUACUGGACGGUGACUGACGCUGAGGCACGAAAGUGUGGGUAGCAAACAGGAUUAGAUACCCCUGUAGUC